GGUGGGGCCGCCGUAGGGACCCGGACCCGGGGUCGCCAGCCCGGGUGGGCCGGGUCACGUGGGCCCCGCCGGGCUGCAGAGCGCCGGGGGCGGGGCGGCGAGGGGCAGCGGGAGGCCAUUUUGGGGGCGUAGUGGCCGCCCGUGACCGCCCCCGCCCGGGCCCCGGCUCCCGCCCCGCGAGCCGCCCGCCGGAGCAUCUUCUCGCCUGAGCAGAAAACAUCUCUCCGGUCCCCCGACGUCAGAGCCUCCUCCACCUCGGGUCGUCUCCUUUUCCCCAGCCUGAGCCAGAACCCCAAUCUAGGAUUCUCUGUCCCCUGGCCUCCACUGGUCACCUCAUUUUCUGCACUCUUAAUAUGACCCCCUUGACGCAGUCUGAGGCCACAGAUCACGAUGACAAGAGGAAAUUAUCAGUAAGAAAAGACGGCUCUUAACCCAAGCCCACUCCAGGGUUCAGAAGACCUCGGGCCCGGCCCUCAAUGCCCCGGCCGCCAGCGCCCUCUCCCGGGCGGCGGGCACACAGCAGAGGCGCGCAGGCCGACGCUGCCUUUUCCCGGACUUCAGGACUUUCUCCUCCCGCCGCUCGGCUUCCUUUACUCCCGCCGCGUCCCGCCCGCAGCCGGCGCCUCCGCCCCCGCGCGCCGCCCUGCCCCGGGCGUUCGCGGCUUCCGAGGCCCGGCCCGGCCCGGCCGCCCACCCACCGGCACGUCAAACGCCCUCAUUUCCCUUGAAAAGUUUCUAGACGGCAAUAGAAAAGGCAUUAAAAAUGAGUCCUUGGCUGGUCACGGGAGAUGGCCUUCUUGCCACUUCUAAGUUCCAUUGUACAUACUCAACAAUAAGAAGAGACCCAGAAGGAUCUGACCACUUAUCUACACCAGAAAGCUUUAAAACUUAAUUCUGGAGGAUACCUCAGUCUCUUCAUCUGUAAAAUAAUGAUAUUAAUUCUCAUGUCCUUCAAAAGAAUGAAUCGAUAAGUUAUUUAAUGUCUACAGUUGUGUUCUGGAGAUUAUCCAUGACUAUAAUAAAAC
rnacentral:lncRNA from 1 species